CGCGGCCAGGAUAUUACAGAGCACAUCUGGAGUCUGCCCUUUGUGAACCCAGAAGCGACUGGACUUCCUUCUUGCUUGAGUCUCUAGAAGCUUCCUCAGCCUCGUGGCACUCACUGGCCUUUACCAUGCCUUUCCAGUGCACCAAUGAGGCGGUGCCUGCUUCCUGCUGUGAAGUGGGAUGAGCACACCUUGCGAGUCCAUGGUCUCCAGGACCCAGUGCACAUCCUCUGCUGGCGUGGCAGGUCGCUGCUCCCUUGCUGCCACGUCUUCUUCAUGUACCAAGGCCUGUCCCAACAGAGGCCAAAGGGGUUUGUCUUUUCUGAAAACUCACCUCUGCCCCUUCUUCUGUAGCCACACUAGAGGCUGCUCCGUGGGCCAUACAAAGGUGACUCUGGCCAUAAAGAGCAGAAAGUACAAGCCUACCUGUGGGCUGGCUUCCCCAGCUUUUCUGUGUAAGCGUGGCCCUUUGCAAGGCAGACUUGGCCCUGGGAUGUGAGGUGCAGCAUCCUGGAUGGGGUGGAUGGAGAUGCUGUUCUCCUCUGGUGUCAGUUUGUGACAUGUCCCAUCAACUCUGCAAGAUCCAGCUGAGCCUUCAAUUUGAACCAGUGACCGUCUGGAGACAGAACAGGGGCAAGAACAGACUGUGCUGGGAGAGAGUGAACCUAAAGUUCAGAUUUGUUCCUUGAAGCAAAAGUAAAGGACAAACCCCCAUAGCGAGCGCCGAGCCUGUACCUCUCCUUACAGCCAGUUCAUGAGCAGCCACUGGGAGCCAAGUGGGUUUCUUCCACCAGUAUUAACUAUAUAUCUAGUUAAGUACGUUGAUGACAUUUUCUUUCUGAAAAUCAUUAUGAAGUAGUGUUCAAAGUCAGCGCAGCUCAGCAGUAAAACCUCACUCGAAUGCUUGAAGACAAUUGGUUUUGCUUUUUUUGGUACAAACAUUUUGUAAGCUUCUUUUGUUGGGCUAUGUUUAUAUUCCUCUACCUCACAGAUUGGCCCCUUGUGCCAUACAAAGCCCCUUAAAUACUUUAAGUCAUUAUCACACAUUGGCCUUCCAUAGCCAAGUAUACACAGGUGAUGUGUUUAUACUGAGGGUCGCCUCAAGAUCUCCUGAUGAUGCCAAGGGCAGGCUUGAGCCCAGCCUCCUAGGCUGCUAGAGCGGAUGGUCCCCACGCUGACCCCUGUGCAUGGACUCUGCUCUCCAGACUCUCCUCUCUGGCAAGGCGUCGCUGGCUUUGGGGCAGCUGACUGCAGGUUACGGUCCCUCAGCCUCUGCUCCACUAGUUCAUUUCAUGACCCACCGAGAGCCCAGACUGUGGACACUGUCUUACCAAGCGCUGUGCGCAUAGCCUUCCUGGGCCUCCGCUGCCAGCACUAGCCCUGCCUGAAGGACACUUUGUGAAACGUUGGCUUCAGAUGUUCGGG
rnacentral:lncRNA from 1 species